GGUUUAACUGUCAACCCUAGAUUAGUCAUCCACAUUGUAUUUCAAUCUUUUUCAAAUCCUGUGAUCUAUCACAUAGAUUGUCCUAAUCGAAGUCUUACUCAAUUAAAAUAUAGUGAUACAUCAACUCCUAAAAUAUAAAGAGAUCAAUCCUAUCUUGAUCCACACACUGACUACCACAAGUACUUAACUAUGCCCAGAAAUCUUCCAUCACUGAAUUAGAAAUUCAGAUAGUCCAGCAUCAAAGUACAGUGAGUUGCUUGCAAGUCACAGUGAGUAGUUCUUGAUAGCAGAGUGCUCCAUAGGUGAGUCACUUAUUCAGUGAUGAUGUACUCCUACAUGUCACCUAUAUGCCACACCAGUAUCUUCACACUCCUU
rnacentral:lncRNA from 1 species